AAAGGGAAAUCAGCAUUGACUCUUUAAUUAGAGAAGAUACUUUCCUCCAUCUCUUGAGCAUCCAGUCCUGUCCAUCAAAGCCCUGGAGUGGGUUUUCAGGGUGGUAUUAUCCCCAGGAACACCACCAGAGGGCAGGCGUCUCUCAAUUUCCUAUCUUGGUGCAGUGACAGGGAGGGGACAGCUCCAGGAGGCCGGCUUGGGCUGCCAAAGUCUGUAAAUACCAACAAGCAGAUGGCAUCUCCUGGCAGGCAGGCGUGUGUCCUACUGUGAGGGUCCACCAGUCACUCCUGAGACCUCAGAGAAACCCUGGAGCAGGAGGGGAGAUAUGUAUGAAGAUGAUGUGGCCAGAUAACCAUGGCAGCUCUCUCACAAAAUAAGGGGAAGCUUACAGCAUCAGGAUGAAGCCAACACUGCUGACGGCAGAGCAGACAGACGGCAGAGCAGACAGACGGAAGGAAUCUGGUCCUUGUCACUAUUGGUGAGGGUCUGGACCAACCUCAAAGCUGCCCUGGCUCCAGCUCCUGAACCAGGCACGAGCAUUCCCACCGUGUAUACUGUUGGUGGCAGAGGAAUGGACGAGAGGGAGCCAGAGCAGGGGAGGAAGAAGGACCCAGCUCCAACGGCGACUGUGCCUGGCUGACUGGCUUCAUGGAGCCCAGGUGUCUUGGAAACCGCUGGCUCCUGUCGAGGCAGGAAGGAGGCUGCGGGCCAUUGUAAAGCAGUCAAAUGCACAUGUGACUCACUCUGGUGACGGGUUGGGGAGGAUGGCCAGGUAGGUCUAGAUCCACCGACUGGGGCCAGACAGAAUUCUUUUUUGGGAGAAGACAGUUCAGUUUUGGGUCCUGUUGGGUUUGAGAUGGCCAGAAGUCCUGACUGGGUAGAUAAUGGUUCCUCAGGCUGGAUUUAAGUGCUUCCACCAAAAAAACUAUUUAAAGCAAUGAUUUGGGUGGAAACUAGAACAUUUCUCAAAUAUGCAGUCCACUCAGAGAUAGAAGAACAGAUAGUUCCACAGACACUUGUUAGGAUUCUACAUGUAUCUGGGAUCCUGUGAAGAUGUCCAGGAAAUAAUUGUAUGUGAGCCAGGGUUUUUUGAGAGAGAGAGAGAGAG